UGGUCCUAACUUUGAAAUCAAUUUUUACUCAAUUUACACAUGCAAGUUUCCGCCACCCUGUGAAAACGCCCUCAUACCCCUAUUAGGGGAAAGGAGCUGGUAUCAGGCCCAACAAUUAGCCCAAGACACCUAGCUAUGCCACACCCACAAGGGAACUCAGCAGUGAUUAACAUUAGAUAUUAGCGACAGCUUGAUCCAGUUAAAGUAAAUAGAGCCGGCUAAUCUGGUGCCAGCCGCCGCGGUUACACCACGUGGCUCAAAUUGAUUUCCUUCGGCGUAAAGCGUGAUUUAAGAGUUAUUUUUUAAUAUAAUUAAAUUAGAAUUAAGCUGUGACACGCUUAUAUCUGAGAAAACCAAUAACGAAAGUCAUUAUAUUUAAAUCAACUUGAACCCACGACAGCUAGAACACAAACUGGGAUUAGAUACCCCACUAUGUCUAGCCGUAAACUUUUAUUUACUCCUUAAUCGCCUGGGAACUACGAGCAAAGCUUAAAACCCAAAGGACUUGACGGUACCCCACAUCCACCUAGAGGAGCCUGUCCUACAAUCGAUAACCCCCGUUAAACCUCACCAUUUUUAGCCUAUUCAGCUUGUAUACCUCCGUCGUCAGCUUACCACGUGAGCGAACUGAAGUGAGCUUAAUGUUUUUACAUCAAUACGUCAGGUCAAGGUGCAGCAAAUGAAAUGGGAAGAGAUGGGCUACACUUUCUAUUUUAGAAAAUACGAAAAACUAAAUAUGAAAUUCUAGUUAGAAGAUGGAUUUAGAAGUAAAAAGAAAAAACGAGUGUUCUUUUUAAAUUGGCACUGGGGUGUGUACACACCGCCCGUCACCCUCAUCAUUGUACUAAACAUAGUUAAUAACAAACAAACACAGUGUAGAAGAGGUAAGUCGUAACAUGGUAAGUAUACCGGAAGGUGUGCUUGGAAA
rnacentral:ncRNA from 1 species